rnacentral:rRNA from 1 species
GACAGAGGGUGCAAACGUUGCUCGGAAUUACUGGGCGUAAAGCGCGUGUAGGUGGAUUGGUGUGUCAGAUGUGAAAUCCCUGGGCUCAACCCAGGAACUGCACCUGAAACUACCAGUCUUGAGUGGUGGAGAGGGAAGUGGAAUUCCUGGUGUAGAGGUGAAAUUCGUAGAUAUCAGGAGGAACACCAGUGGCGAAGGCGGCUCUCUGGGACGGUACUGACGCUGAGACGCGAAAGCGUGGGGAGCGAACAGG